UUUACAUGUAUUGGCUGUGUGACUGAUCCUGAAGACUUUACACUAACAAAUUAGUCCUGCUUAAUAGAAAGAAUUUUUGGUAAAGAACUAAAAGAUUAUUGGAUUAGAGUCUAAAAGCAAAUCCUUGUACUGAGAUCAACCUAGAAGACUAAAUAAAAAACACAUCUAGCCAGAUAGCUCUUAGUAUCCUGAGUUUUUGUAGUGAAAUCUUGUUUUGUUGGCAUUAUGCCUCUUCUUUACUGUUCCUGCAGUAGUCAGUUUGGGAUUUUCUCUGCACAGAAAGUAAUAGGGAGUCCAUUAGCAAUAUCAGGCAUUUAAAUUUUAAAAAUGCUGAUGAGUAGAAUGUUUUGUAGCAAUCUGAAUAUUUUUGUAACUUUCACAUUUGUUUAAUCAAUACUUUGUAAGGCUUUCUUAUAGAUACUCUGUUUUCUUAAAAUUCCAUUGCUCUUCAUAAUAAUUGCUGUUUGAGAGUAAGAGAAUUCAGUAGCUAAUUACAUCUGUGCUAGUGAAAACAUAGCUGCUUAAAAUCUUUUCACCUGUAAAUUCCACCAUUAGCUGCAGAAUUCCAAAAUCCCAGGCUUUGGGGACCAUCAGACAUAAAAUUGUCCAGUGGCCUUGAAAUUCUUUAUUCAUCUUAGUACGCUUGUUUGCAGCUACAAAUGAAAAUACACAAGGUGUGGGCCAAAAUUUUUCAUAUGGUCAUAUUGUUGAAUUUUUACCUGUGAAAUAGUAACACAUGUCUUCCUGACCCCAGCUCAUUACAAAAUGAAGACAACCUAACUUCACAAUUGCGGGACUUUCUAUAAUUAUUUUUUUAAUGUAUUGUGGUAGCACCUAGAGGCCCCGAUUGGGGACCCCGUUGUCCUAAGCACUGCUCAAACAUUUAUAUCAGUGUUUCUCAAACUUUUUGUGCUAGCAACUCCAUUUGGAUUUUUUUUUUUUAAAAGGUACACACGCACACACAUCCCACUAGAAAAAAUUGCGACCUUCUACCUUCAUCCCCCGCUCAGGGCUGGGCUUCAGCCGCGCUCGGAGCAUGGGACUCCGGACUUCAGCCCCCUGCUGCCCUCAGAGCUCCCAGCUGGGGCUUUCUGCCUUGGCGACUCCAUCAAAAUGGAGUCGCAACCCACGUUUUGAGAACCGCUGACUUAUAUGAAAUGGUCCCUCCCCCGAAGAAUUUAGUAUAAAAAUCAGACCAUUUUUAUGGCUCACUCAUCUUAAAAAAAAAAAAGAAGAAGAAGAAAAAAAAGGUAUCAAAUUCUGUUUUGUUUGGCAAUGUUAUAUUAUGUGAUCUAUAGCACCAAUGCUAGAUGUCCCUCCACUUAUUCAUGCCUUAAACUACGGCCAUAUUUUACAUCAGAUGUGGUUGCAUGUUGUUAGUGAAUGAAGAUUCCACUGUACAGAAGUUUCUUAAAAUGCAUAGGAAUGAUUUGGGGUGCCAAUGAAUCACUAUAACACCCAUUCCUACCUCAGCCCAAGUGCAGCUUUUGUUUUUGAGGAGGUGAGGGUUCUCUUUGAUGAGGUGCUGCCUUUGGCCAGAAUCUCAUGUUGUUCCUAACAACAAUGUGCAGUCCUGAAUAAAUGUAAGGCCUUGUCUACACUACACAGUUUUGUCAAAAAAAGCCAGCUUUCGUCAACAAAACAGUGGAAGUAUACACACUACAAUGCCGAUUUAGCUCUCCUGCUACACCGACAAAAUAAAAUCACCACAACGAGAGGCAUAGGGUUUUUUGUGACAAAGUUAGAUCAGCGCAGUGUCAGCGUACUCACUGUGCUUGCUUAUGUUGCCCUAAUUGGUCUCCAGGAGGUGUCUCUCAAUGCCCAUCGUGACCGCUCUGGUCAGCAGUUUGAACUCCACUGCCCUGAAGGUACACAGGUAUGUGCCCCUCCCACAUUUAAAGGCCUGGGAAUUUUUGAAAUUCCUCUUCCUGUUUGCUAGGCAUGGACAGUUCACGCAGUAUUUUCCCAGCUGACCAUGCCUGCUUUCCGCAGUAGACACGCUCCUGUGUGGAGCACACGAGAGCUGUUGGCCCUGCUGGAUCUGUGGAAAGAGGAAGCUGUGCAGUUGCAGCUUCUCUCCAGCUGUAGGAACUUUGAUACCUACAGGCAGAUAGCUAGUGAGAUGCCAGAGAAGGGGCACAAGAGGGACAUGCGGCAGUGCUGUGCUAAGAUCAAGAAGCUGAGGCAGGCGUACCAGAAGGCCAGGGAGGCCAACCGUUGUUCUCGUGCGGUGCUGAAGACAUGCCGCUUCUAGAAGGAGCUGCACGCCAUCCUCGACGGCGACCUCACCUCCUCCACCACCAAGAGCUCCAUGAAUACUUCAGGGGGACUGGAGGCAGCGACCAGUCGAGUCAACCCCAAGGACGAAGUGGUAGACAAAGAAGUUGAGCUGGAGAAGAAUGUGGAACACACCACAGUGUCGCUUGGUGGCAUGACGAGUCAGGACCUCUUUUCCAUUCCAGGGUAUCUAGCCAGUCCCAGCACUCUGGCUCUGGCAUACCUGAAGAAGGAGAUGCAAGCUCUUGUAAGCAUGCAUUGUGCUUUGAUACUGCAUGGUGAGAGGAGAUUGAGCUCUCACAUACUUUAUGUGGGAGAGGAGGCAUAAGGAACAGAAAUUAACAAAUGAGCCUAUGCAACUGUGCAGUGGGGGCCUGGUGCAAAAGUUCGUUAAUGUACACCAGGAUGUCGUGCGAAUCAUCCAUAGAGAUCUCUAAAAAGCUUUUCUGUAGGUAUUCUGCAAUUCUCUGCUGAAGGUUCCUUGGCAAAGUUGCCUUGUUUCGCUGUAGGGAUUGUUGCUGCGCAAAUUGGAAAUUAUUUCAACAGGGACCAGAGCAGCACACAGGCGAGCAGCAUAUGGACCUGGUCUGAAGCCGCAUGCAUGCAGGAGAUGCACCCUUGCAUCCUGGAUUACCCUCAGGAGUGAGAUAUCAGGUUCAAUUACCCCAGCCUGUGG